rnacentral:rRNA from 1 species
CCUACGGGUGGCAGCAGUGAGGAAUAUUGGUCAAUGGGCGCGAGCCUGAACCAGCCAAGUAGCGUGAAGGAUGACUGCCCUACGGGUGGUAAACUUCUUUUAUAAAGGAAUAAAGUGAGGCAAGUGUGCCUUCUCGCAUGUACUUUAUGAAUAAGGAACGGCUCACUCCGUGCCAGCAGCCGCGGUAAUACGGAGGAUCCGAGCGUUACGCGGAUUUAUUGGGUUUAAAGGGAGCGUAGAUGGGUUGUUAAGUCAGUUGUGAAAGUUUGCGGCGCAACCGUAAAAGUGCAAUUGAUACUGGCAGCCUUGAGUACAGUUGAGGUAGGCGGAAUGCGUGGUGUAGCGGUGAAAUGCUUAGAUAUCACGCAGAACUCCGAUUGCGAAGGCAGCAUACUAAACUUCCACUGACAUUGAUGCUCGAAAGUGUGGGUAUCGAACAGGAUUAGAUACCCCAGUAGUC